rnacentral:SRP_RNA from 1 species
GAUGGGUCCCCUCGCAACAAUAAUCCGUGAACCUGGUCAGGCCUGGAAGGGAGCAGCCACAGCGGUGGACUUGGGUGCCGGGGUGUGGCUUGUUCAG